rnacentral:rRNA from 1 species
GACGAACGCUGGCGGCGUGCUUAACACAUGCAAGUCGAACGAGUGGCGAACGGGUGGGUAACACGUGGGUGACCUGCCCUGCACUUCGGGAUAAGCCUGGGAAACUGGGUCUAAUACCGGAUAGUGUGGGAUGGGCCCGCGGCCUAUCAGUUUGUUGGUGGGGUAAUGGCCACCAAGGCGCGACGGGUAGCCGGCCUGAGAGGGUGGACGGCCACACUGGGACUGAGACACGGCCCAGACUCCUACGGGAGGCAGCAGUGGGGAAUAUUGCACAAUGGGCGGAAGCCUGACGCAGCGACGCCGCGUGGGGGAUGACGGCCUUCGGGUUGUAAAGCACUUUUGGCAGGAAGACGGUACCUGCAGAAUAAGCACCGGCUAACUACGUGCCAGCAGCCGCGGUAAUAC